rnacentral:tRNA from 1 species
AGCCCCGUAGUGUAGAGGUCAAUCAUGCCGGCCUUUGGAGCCGGCGACGCCAGUUCGAAUCUGGCCGGGGCUA